UACAGGGGGUGCAAACGUUGCUCGGAAUUAUUGGGCGUAAAGCGCGCGUAGGCGGCUACCUAAGUCGGAUGUGAAAGCCCCUGGCUUAACUGGGGAAGUGCACCCGAAACUGAGUAGCUAGAGUGCGAAAGAGGGUCGCGGAAUUCCCGGUGUAGAGGUGAAAUGCGUAGAUAUCGGGAGGAACACCUGUGGCGAAAGCGGCUCACUGGACCACAACUGACGCUGAUGCGCGAAAGCUAGGGGAGCGAACGGG
rnacentral:rRNA from 1 species